GUGUUGUAUGAGAGGAACGAAGGUUCAUAUUCCUCUUGAAAGGCAGUGCCCUUGGGUCUAACAGGCUGCACAUAGUUAAGGCAUUGCAACCUGCUUUGUGGCAGCAAACCACUGAUUUUU
ensembl:snRNA Gm25338 predicted gene, 25338